GAAGCUUGAUGGUUGCCUAAACGCAUGCUCUUCAGUUCUGAUAUUUGAGAAAUCAAAUAAGCUUGUGGUGGCAAAGUCUUUUUCAAGAAUUUUCUACGGUUCUUUUCAUUUUUUUUCGUUUUCUUUAUUUUGCUAUAUCUAUCCAUAUGUAAUUGUCUGAUGUGCAGGGUAUGAGUGAGAUCAGCCCGACAGAAAAAAUAAAUAAAUAAAUUACAGUGAACAGAAGAAAUUACUUUUUAAAAACAAUGUAGUUUUAUAUAGGGAAAUAGCUCAAAAUACCACCCAUUUUAUAAUUUUUUGUCAAAAUACCACCCCUUCCCAAAAUUUUUAAAACUACGACCUAUAAAUACAUUUUUAUUGUAAAUUGAUUGCACCCAUAUCACAUUUUCAGAAAACCUGAGGGGAACUACGGGUUUAGAAUGACUUCGCCUCCGCCUCUUUUCUCGUUCGAUCGUCUACGGCCUCCGCUUCCUUUCUCCUUCGUUCUUCUACGCCCCUGCCUCCGCCUCUGCUUUUUCGAUUGUCUGCCUUCCUCCUCCUCCUCUGCUUUUUCGAUUGUCUACCUUCCUCCUCCUCCUCCUACUUGGCUCUUCUCCUCAGCUAUCAGCUAUUUCAUACCCAGAAGUGUUGGAUCCUGAGCAAGCAGUGAAAGGGCUAUCUGGUGUGAAUUGGAAUAAAUAAAAAAAAUUUGCUGGGUUUUUGAGACUUGUGAUGUUAUUCAUCAGUAUUCAUGCCUGGUUUCUUCUUGUAAUAAUUUUGUUGAUUGUGAGCUUUUCCCUCUAGCGCUUGUUGCUGAUACUGAUUGUGAAGGUGAAUUGGUUGUGCUUUAUGAUGUUUGAAGCAUUUGAGAAUCUAUUUGGUGUUAAUAUGGGGAUGAAUGGAUGGUGUUCAUCGAAGGCAAAAGAUAGUCCCUCUCUGUCCCAUAAUUUUUCACCCUCUUCAGCUGAUGGACUUACAAAUUUCUAUAGAAAUCUUAUUUUUCAAAGAAA